rnacentral:rRNA from 1 species
UACAGAGGGUGCGAGCGUUAAUCGGAAUUACUGGGCGUAAAGGGUGCGUAGGCGGUUAGAUAAGUUAAUUGUGAAAGUCCUGGGCUUAACCUGGGGAUUGCAGUUAAUACUGUCUAGCUCGAGUGUUGUAGAGGUGAGCGGAAUUUCCGGUGUAGCGGUGAAAUGCGUAGAUAUCGGAAGGAACAUCGAUGGCGAAGGCAGCUUGCUGGACAACAACUGACGCUGAGGCACGAAAGCGUGGGGAGCAAACAGG